rnacentral:rRNA from 1 species
GAUGAACGCUGGCGGCGUGCCUAAUACAUGCAAGUCGAGCGAACAGACGAGGAGCUUGCUCCUCUGACGUUAGCGGCGGACGGGUGAGUAACACGUGGAUAACCUACCUAUAAGACUGGGAUAACUUCGGGAAACCGGAGCUAAUACCGGAUAAUAUAUUGAACCGCAUGGUUCAAUAGUGAAAGACAGUUUUGCUGUCACUUAUAGAUGGAUCCGCGCCGCAUUAGCUAGUUGGUAAGGUAACGGCUUACCAAGGCAACGAUGCGUAGCCGACCUGAGAGGGUGAUCGGCCACACUGGAACUGAGACACGGUCCAGACUCCUACGGGAGGCAGCAGUAGGGAAUCUUCCGCAAUGGGCGAAAGCCUGACGAAGCAACGCCGCGUGAGUGAUGAAGGUCUUCGGAUCGUAAAACUCUGUUAUUAGGGAAGAACAAAUGUGUAAGUAACUAUGCACGUCUUGACGGUACCUAAUCAGAAAGCCACGGCUAACUACGUG